rnacentral:tRNA from 1 species
GGGGAGUUGGCCGAGUGGCUGAAGGCGAUCGCCUGCUAAGCGAUUAUAGGGCUGAAUGGCUCUAUCCCGGGUUCGAAUCCCGGACUCUCCGCCA